UUGGCUUAAUAGUCCCACAUGCAAGAUACUUACUUUACCCUGAGCAUCUUUUAAGAGAUUUGUUCUGUGCAUUCAGGCUGUAAUGGAACGUACUC